UACGUAGGUGGCGAGCGUUGUCCGGAGUUACUGGGCGUAAAGGGCGCGUAGGCGGUUAGACAAGUGAGAUGUGAAAUCCCUGGGCUUAACCUAGGAAUGGCAUUUUAGACUGUAAGACUAGAGAGCAGUAGAGGGUGGCGGAAUUUCCGGUGUAGCGGUGAAAUGCGUAGAGAUCGGAAGGAACAUCAGUGGCGAAGGCGGCCACCUGGACUGACACUGACGCUGAGGCGCGAGAGCGUGGGGAGCAAACAGG
rnacentral:rRNA from 1 species